UGGUGGUAGCCUCUCUGCCUCGGGUGC
rnacentral:piRNA from 1 species